GGGCCGCACGCGCGCUACACUGACCGAACCAGCGAGUUUAUCACCUUGCCGGAAGGCCUGGGUAAUCUUGUGAAACUCGGUCGUGAUGGGGAUAGAGCAUUGCAAUUAUUGCUCUUCAACGAGGAAUACCUAGUAAGCGUGAGUCAUCAGCUCGCGUUGAAUUCGUCCC
rnacentral:rRNA from 1 species